GCCCAGGGGCGGCUGAGCUACCCCUUGGGCCGGGCGUGUGCUUGGCGGCUUCCCCUAGCAGGGUUCCCUCUCCGGGUCCUCAGCAGCCUGUGGUCACCCCGAGCAUGCUUUUCUAAGACACCCCCAGACUUCCUGCUGCGUCCUGUUUCCCCAGCCCAGCAGGGAGGUGCCUUGCAAGGGUGCAGAAGGGGCAGGCAGCCCCCCGGUUAGGGGGUCGCUGAGCUGGCUGAGGCCCUGGGGGGCCGGCUUCCUGGGCUGUUCGUCCUCCCAGUUGGGCCCCAGGAAGCCGCCGGCUUUGGGCCUUGUCCCUCUUCGUGGGGCGGGGGCUCCGGGAGGCUGUGCCGCGGGUUUUCCAUGGGGUUCUGAGCUGGUCCUUCACAGGGAGGUGAGGUGCCCACCCUCUCUGAGCCUGAGAUGCUCACUUGCCCACCUUUGGUGGAGUGUGUCAGGGCUGAGGACGGCGCUGGCCUCGCUUACCAAGUGUCCUCUGUCCUCAGUCUGCGCUCUCUCUGGCCAGGUGACCCCGAGUGUCAGGCCAGCCUUGUCACCUUGGGCGUAAACCCCCAUCUGUGCAGGGGGUCAGUGCAGCACCUGCUCGGCCGGCAGGCCCUCCCUUGCUCUCUCUGGCUCAGAGGUGGUCAUGGGAAUGGGGGCCUGUACCCCGUGUAGCUCAGGCCCCUGGCGGACGCCUGUGGGGAGCAGGCUGCAGUGUAGGGGCCCUUCUGGGAGGGGCCUGUUCAUUUCCUAGCCUCGCCACUUCAAGCAGGAGCCUGCCGUCUGUGGAUGGAGGCGGGAGGGUCACCCCCAGGACCGAGCCGCCUUCUCCGCCCCGGUAGCUUCGGCCUCUGCCUCACCCCAGCUGCGCAGCCCAGGGCUCCUGCCUCCCUUGCAGCUGCCCGUUCAGUGCUCCUCGAACCCGUGCCCUCUUGGGCCACCUUUCCGCAGUGCAGACCCCUCCUGGUCUCCUGCGCAGCCUGAGGCCCCUCCGGUCUGCCCACCCUCCAGCUCGCCCGGUGCCCCCUUGGGUUUAGCCAGCCGGAAGCCCCUCGGCAGGUGUGGUCUUACCUCCCAUCCCAGGUGCUGGCCCUGCGGUCACAUCGGCACGCUGAAUAAACGAAGCAGUGUCCACAGAACGGAGGCGCCCAGCUCCUGGUUGGAGGAGGCACGGAGGCUGCAGGAGGAGGUGGCGGCGGCCGGGGGCUGGAGGCCCUCAGCUGGCCCCUGCUGCACUUUCACCCGCUGCCAGGCACUUCUGCCAGCCCCUGCUUCAGUGGGUGGGACCUCCACCGUGCCUGCCUGUGGGGACUGGUUCCAAGGGGAGCUGUCCCUGCCCCAUCCAGGCCGUGGAUGCCCCGAUCGCCACUUGUGUCCACUCCUUGACGUACGGGCUUCAAGCCACCUAUCCGGCUGCGAAGUCAGCGGGGACCUGGCCACCCUCAGACCUUCCCGUGCCUCAGUUUCCCCACGGUGUUGACCAGGAUCUGUGUGUCCUGCGGUGCCUCCUCCAGGGGAGCGGUCUGCGUGUCCCCCUGAGGGUGUCCUGGAGGCCCUCCCAGGGCCUGCGUUGCAGGACCGCUUCCACUUGGACUCCCUCUUCGUCCCUGCAGUUCCGUCCCCAGUUUCUGUAUGGAAUCCCAAGGCGCUGCCCCAGACUACGUCUACUUCGAGAACUCCUCCAGCAACCCGUACCUGAUCCGGAGGAUCGAGGAGCUCAACAAGACGGCCAACGGGAACGUGGAGGCCAAGGUGGUGUGCUUCUACCGAAGGCGGGACAUCUCCAGCACGCUCAUCGCCCUGGCCGACAAGCACGCCACCCUGUCGGUCUGCUAUAAAACCGGAUCGGGGGCCGACAACGGCGAGGAAGGUGAAACAGAGGAGGAAAUGGAGAACCCAGAAAUGGCAGACCUGCCCGAGAAGCUCAAGCACCAGCUGAGGCAUCGAGAGCUCUUCCUCUCCAGACAGCUGGAGUCACUGCCCGCCACCCACAUCAGAGGGAAGUGCAGCGUCACUUUGCUCAACGAGACUGAGUCCCUCAAGUCCUACCUGGAACGGGAGGACUUCUUCUUCUACUCUCUCGUCUAUGACCCCCAGCAGAAGACCCUCCUGGCUGACAAGGGGGAGAUCCGUGUCGGGAACCGGUACCAGGCGGACAUCACCGACCUGCUGAAAGAAGGCGAGGAGGACGGCCGAGACCAGGCCAAGCUGGAGACCAAGGUGUGGGAGGUUCACAACCCGCUGGUGGACAAGCAGAUCGACCAGUUCCUGGUGGUGGCCCGCUCCGUGGGCACCUUUGCACGCGCCCUGGACUGCAGCAGCUCUGUCCGACAGCCCAGCCUUCACAUGAGCGCCGCGGCCGCCUCUCGGGACAUCACCCUGUUCCACGCCAUGGACACGCUGCACAGGAGUGUGUACGACGUCGCCAAGGCCAUCUCGGCCCUGGUGCCGCAGGGCGGGCCCGUCCUCUGCAGGGACGAGAUGGAAGAGUGGUCGGCCUCGGAGGCCAGCCUGUUCGAGGAGGCCCUGGAGAAGUACGGGAAGGAUUUCACUGACAUUCAGCAAGACUUCCUCCCCUGGAAGUCGCUCACCAGCAUCAUCGAGUACUACUACAUGUGGAAGACCACCGACAGAUACGUGCAGCAGAAACGCUUGAAAGCAGCGGAAGCGGAGAGCAAGUUAAAGCAAGUUUAUAUCCCCAACUAUAACAAGCCAAACCCGAACCAGAUCAGCGUCAAUAACGUGAAGGCAGGCGUGGUGAACGGUGCCGGGGCGCCAGGCCAGAGCCCUGGGGCCGGCCGGGCCUGCGAGAGCUGUUACACCACCCAGUCUUACCAGUGGUAUUCUUGGGGUCCCCCUAACAUGCAGUGUCGCCUCUGCGCAUCUUGUUGGACAUAUUGGAAGAAAUAUGGUGGCUUGAAAAUGCCAACCCGGUUAGAUGGAGAGAGGCCAGGACCCAACCGCAGUAACAUGAGCCCCCACGGCAUCCCAGCCCGGAGCAGCGGGAGCCCCAAGUUUGCCAUGAAGACGAGACAGGCCUUCUACCUGCACACCACCAAGCUCACGCGGAUCGCCCGGCGCCUGUGCCGUGAGAUCCUGCGCCCGUGGCAUGCUGCCCGGCACCCCUACAUGCCCAUCAACAGUGCGGCCAUCAAGGCUGAGUGCACGGCAAGGCUGCCCGGAGCCUCUCAGAGCCCGCUGGUGCUGAAGCAGGCCGCGCGGAAGCCCCUGGAGGCCGUCCUGCGGCACCUUGAGACCCACCCCCGCCCCCCGAAGCCCGACCCCGUGAAGAGCGUGUCCGGCGUGCUCGGCGGCCUGACCCCGGCCAAGUCGGCCCCCGUCAUCAACAACGGCUCCCCUACCAUCCUGGGCAAGAGGAGCUACGAGCAGCACAACGGGGUGGACGGCAACGUGAAGAAGCGCCUCUUGAUGCCCAGUAGGGGUAAGGCCCGGCCCUCCGCGCGUGCCUGUGUGUGCUGUGCUCACGCGUGCGCGGCGGACGGCUCAGGGCACGUCCAAGGGCAGUCCACGCGGGCUGGGCCGCACCCUGCUGCCCCGGCUCCUCCCGAUUCACCUGUCGCUCGGCAAAGACCGGAGCGCUGCCUCUCGGGCCCCCAGCUCGCCCAACGCUGCCUCCUGCCCCGGGGCCUCCGGCUCGCGGGCCACCCCUCCUUCCGGGCCCAGCGCCGGUCAGUGGACUGUCCUCGCUCCGGCGGCCCUGGUGCCCCCGCCGCCCGCCUGUACUGUCUGCUGUCGUGCUGCGACUGUCCGCAUGCCGCCAGCCUCAGCUUGCGUGGCCGCCUGCGCUGUGCUUGCAACCCUGCCUGCGCCCCUGCCCCAGUGGGGGGCUUUGGGACCCUGGUCUCCUCGGGGGGCAGGUGGGACAGAGCUGUGGUGUGGCCGGCAUGGCUGGGUGGGGGUCGGCGAGGCCCGGGUGGACGCUCAGGUCAGGGCCCCGCAUGGAGGCGCGCCCAGGGCUGAGGGUCCCAGAGCUGAGGCAGCAGUAGUGCCCUCUCCUGAGCGGGAUGGGAUGCUCGUGGGGUGUGCGCUAGGGCAGCCCUCUGUGGGACCCUCCUGCCGUCGGCGCCUCUGGAAUGUGGCUCCUCUCACCUGCCCAGGGCCCGGCUUCUGCCCCCUCAGCUGGCGGUGGGGUGUUCGUGGGCUGGGGCUGCUCUAGGAGGGUGUAGCCACUGUGGCAGUGUGGGAUGUGUCAGACCUGGGUGUCCCAGGGCCCCCCGGGGAUUUGCCUGCGGCCGGACCCGUGUGUGUGUGUGGGGGGAGGUGAACAGGGAAGCAGCUGAAGGGAAGAACGUGGCAAGUGCACUCGGAGCCCCUCCUGCCAGCCUCUCGUGACGGCAAGGUCAGGUCGGGUGUGGGUGCCCCAGCUCCAUGGGGUGGCAAGCAUGGGCACGUCCAGAGCCCUCCCCGAGCUCAGGGCUGGAGGGCUGCUGGCCCCAGGGGUCUGGCCGAGGCUUGGCUGUCCUGGGAUCUGUGGGAGGUGGGCCGGACGUGGGGACCCGGGAGGUAGCAGCGGCCAGCGGCCACUGGCCCAGCCCUGUCCCCUGUACGCUCCCUCUCUCCGCUGUGUCUGAGAGCCCCAGCAGGCACACCCUGAGGGUCAGCCGGGGGUACUGGUGCCGGGUCCUGCCAUCUCACCCCAUCUGGACACAGGCUCUCGCCUGCACCAGGCCCCGCCCCCCCCCUGCCCUGGCUGCCUCACCCACGACCCUGCGGUGGGGCUCUGAGGGCGGGGCGCUAGCCUGCUGAUCUCCCUCCUCCCCCCCAUAGCCUUCGGGCGGGGAGGCUGUCGCAGCCCCUGGUCCCAGCAGCGGGGCUGGCUGCUCAUCUGCCCCUGCGACAGGUGCCCUGGGGAUGGUCUGAUUACACCCACAGAAGGGGGUGAGGGGCCGCGUGCUCAUCAGCAGGCAGCUUUGGGCUUUGUGGUCCGACCUGUGAAAAAGCCGUUAGUUAGCGGGAGGGAUGAAAUCUUUUUGCUUCUGUCGGGUUUUCCGAGAUCGAUGUGCUUCCAUACCUAUCUACUUCAGCCCCAGCGUGCAGAUCCCGGGUGGGGAUAUCGGGGGCUGCACGUGAGCCCUGGGAGGAGGCCACAGCUGGCCUCCUGGGGUGCUGUGGGGCAGCGGGGGCAGCGGCGGGUGGCGGGAGCUGGCUCUGGGCGAGGCCCGGCCUCUGGCACUGGUGGGGCCUUAAUGGGCUAACAGGCCCACGGACGCGCCUGCGGCUGCAUCCACCCUCCGGCCUGCCGCAUGCACGCGCUCCCCCGUAACGCUGACCGUGUGCUUUCUUUCCUCCGCCACCCAUCCCUCUGGUAGGCACCUACCUGGGUAAGUAGCACAGGGCCUCGAGGGCUGCAGGCCGGGUGCCACGGCCCCUCCCUCUGCCCUGCCGGGGUUGGGGUACUCCAAGUUAGGAGGCGGUUUGCAAAGGGGAGGGCCGGACAGCUCUUCCCUGCUCGUCAAGAGACGAACCGUGGCCAAGGGGCCCUUUUGGGAGGAGCUGGUCCUGGGAGGCCUCUGGCAGGACGCAAGUGGUGGAGACCAGCCCUCGUGGGCACGUGCUCCCACGGCCGCCCACAGACUCGCCCCACGUGUGUCUGGGAGCCACAGGUCUCGGGCGCCCGUUGGGAAUGUGGACUGAGACCUGGGACGGCGUCUUUCCCCUUCAGAGGGGCAGCUGCUUGUGGCUGCAGACCCCCGGCCAUGGGGUGGAAGCACUGGAACCCUGGCCAGAGCCUGGCCUCCUGGCCACUCGAGGAGCUUCUGUCAGCUCCUCCCUGGGUGGCUGGCCCCAGGGUUUGCGAUGGGGGCUGGGGGCCCCUCGGGAGGAAGCCCGGGGUCGCCCGGCCUCCUGGGGUCUGAGUGGUGCUGCCCGGGGAGUGGCCGCCUUGCAGAGGGGCUGCCCGGCGCCACUGUAUUUAUACCCACCGUAGACCAGGCCCCGGUUGUCGCGGCCCAGUCAAGGGAGCGAGCUCAGAUCCGAGACUCCGGGCCCCCACCCAGAGCGCCGCCUGGGUGUGGGCUGUGGCUCUGGGGGGACCUGGCCCCAGGUCUCCUGCUUCUCGGCUGCGGGUCCUCAGCGAGCGUGUUGAGUGCAGGACGUGCCUUGCCUUGGACCUCACAGCCUGUUCUCCUCCCUCUUGUCAGGUUUGGCGAAUCACGGACAGACCAGGCACAUGGGACCAAGCCGGAACCUGCUGCUCAACGGGAAGGCGUACCCCACCAAGGUGCGGCUGAUCCGGGGGGGCUCCCUGCCCCCCGUCAAGCGGCGGCGGAUGAACUGGAUCGACGCCCCCG